UUCUGCUGUGGCUUUAUCUAUCUAUCCAUCGUGCUUCUAAUUGUCAAUGUGUGUUUUUCUUCCUCCUUUGUUUUUUAACAUUUUCUGGAUGAUCUUCCAACAGCCGUUGUGCUCAACGUUGCCGAGCAAAUGAGAUCGAAGCCGGGCGCACAUUCUUGCCGCUAGCUUCCUGAGCUUACUUGAAGCAAGGAGGAUCCUCUGCUCGGUCCAUGUCGGGCGUAUCCGAAGGAAACAAGCAACCCGAACACGCGCUACGUCAGGCCACGGCCACUGCCACUGGUUCUUCACCCUGCACACAAUUGCCUCGUUGGGUCGCUGGAGGGCGAGGAGAUGAAUGCGACGCUGUGUCACGGAACGGACAAUAAUACUAAAGGGAAGAAUCCAUACGCCGGCCAGAGGCCGCGGCGCUAGUUUUACCAGGGCAGGGCAGAACCUUAAAUUACGGGAGCGUUUUCUCGUUGUGCGACAAGUUGUUUGACUGUUUAACUUCAGAAUAACCGGCGACGGGGAUUUGGGAAGGGAGGUUGAUCCAAGCAUCAGUGUCUGAUAGCUGCCGGGUCUCUUUCAUCGUUUGCAACGAGUGCAUUGAAUCAAUAAAAACAUUGUAUUUUCAUUGAAUCGAUAACACUGCGCUACUCCUUCUAUGAAGGGCGGUUGAAGAAGAAGGCAACGAAAUGCUUUUUAAAAUUGCAAAGGAAAACCAAGGAAGGUUGUUUAGAUAGUAAUGGAUGAUGAUUUCCUCCCACAGAAUUUAAUUAUAUCAUGAUUUCAUUGUUAAAACUUCAAGAGCGGAGCGGUAUAUUCAUACUUUGGUGGGAACAAGCAGGACAGGAAACAAAAAGCCCGGAUUACAGUUAUCAGAGAAGC
rnacentral:sRNA from 1 species